rnacentral:lncRNA from 1 species
CCAAUAAAAUUUGAUUAAACAUCUCUGGCAAUUUAGCUAGCUAGCUUGCUGUUGCUAGCUAAUUUGUCAUGGGAUAUAAACAUUGGGUUGUUAUUUUACCUGAAAUGCACAAGAUCCACUACUCUAACAAUUAAUCCACAGAUAAAACGGUAAACCGAAUUUGUAUCUCAUCAUCUCUCCUUCCUUCAGGUUUAUUUUUCUUCUUUGGACUUUAUAUGACGGUUGGCAAUUUACAGUGCAUUACUUCAACUGACUGGACUGCGGACCUCAGUUAAUCUUUCAAUCACCCACGUGGGUAUAUGCUUCUAAAAAACAACGAGGAUAUGGCACAUGGGUAUAUGCUCCUAAAAACCAAUGUGGAGAUGGGAGAGGCCGGACUUGCAGCACGUGAAGCGUCACAAAUAGAACCAAUUUCUAUUUUAGUGCCUGGCUACGCAGACACUCCGCAAGCAGUGUGGGUGCAACGAUUGAAUAACAUGGUGACGCCGGCUCUGUAUGCUUUCAAAAGGACCUGAACGUGAAACAGAUGAUGUUGUGACCUCAUCGGAUAAACAAGGGUUAACACAACCAACAUUGUUGUAAUAGCAACCGGGUGUGUCUGUAAUUCUGGGUGUGAAAGUCACAUCAUCUGCUCUGAAAGAAAGGGACCCAUUGACUCGCACAAUGUGAACAGGCUGCAUCCCUCGCUUCUUCCCUCCCCCAGUAAUCAGUACACAGGAAGAGGUGAUAAGACAGACCCAUGUUGACUCACAAAAUUCUGGAAUGUAGAGAAAAGGGAAAAGGGG